UACGUAGGGUCCGAGCGUUGUCCGGAAUUAUUGGGCGUAAAGAGCUCGUAGGCGGUCUGUUGCGUCGGCUGUGAAAACCCGAGGCUCAACCUCGGGCCUGCAGCCGAUACGGGCAGACUAGAGUUCGGCAGGGGAGACUGGAAUUCCUGGUGUAGCGGUGAAAUGCGCAGAUAUCAGGAGGAACACCGGUGGCGAAGGCGGGUCUCUGGGCCGAUACUGACGCUGAGGAGCGAAAGCGUGGGGAGCGAACAGG
rnacentral:rRNA from 1 species